rnacentral:rRNA from 1 species
UACAGAGGGCUCAAGCGUUGUUCGGAUUCAUUGGGCGUAAAGGGUGCGUAGGCGGCGCGGUAAGUCGGGUGUGAAAUCUUGGAGCUUAACUCCGAAACUGCAUUCGAUACUGCCGUGCUUGAGGACUGGAGAGGAGACUGGAAUUUACGGUGUAGCGGUGAAACGCGUAGAUAUCGUAAGGAAGACCAGUGGCGAAGGCGGGUCUCUGGACAGUUCCUGACGCUGAGGCACGAAGGCCAGGGGAGCAAACGGG